UUACGGCCAUUUUCAAGUUGAAACAGCAGUGCUCAUAUGUUCACCGAAGUUAAGUAACGUCGAGCCUAGUCAGUACCUGGAUAGGUGACUGCUUUUGAAUACCAGGAGUUGUAAA